UGUAUAAGAAAGGUAAGAUAACUGUAGGCCUAAGAACAAACCAGUAAGCAACACUUCUCCAUAGUUCCUGCCUCUGCUCCUGCUUGAGUUCCUGCCCUGACUGCCUUCAAUGAUAGACUGAGAACAAAAGAAUUUUGGCAACGCAGGACCAGCCAGAUAAGCCUUAUUUAUGGCUAGCUUCCCGGCUUCUGAGCGCCUCUAAGAAUCAUUCUUCGCAGAGGGAAGUGCAUUAGCCCACAGCUCACAUUUUUUGGAACCACAGCCACAGGGUGAACACGGAAGAAGCUGAUGUACCAUACUUCCUGGGCUCUUGUGCCUCCCUGACCUAAGAUCUGAGAGCUGUCCACAGUGACUGCUGCACUCCAGGGUGAGCAACUUUCCUCAUCCACAUGCUUCCUGCCUUCCAUGAUGGUUCUUCUGCCUCACCUCAGGCCCAGACACAAUGGAGUCAGGUAACCACAAACAGAAAUUGUCAGCCAAAAGGACUCUUUCUUACUUCAAGUAAUUUUAGCAGAUACCUUGUAGUAACAAAAAUCUGAAUAGCACAGGUGGGUAUCUAGCCUGUCUCGGUUAAGGCUACCAAGCAAAUUUUUUUCUUCUAUCCCAGCUUUUCCUAGAUCACUCCAUCUGUGCAUCAGUUUUAAGCUGAUGUCAGUAAUGAGAGCUCACGUUUACUGAGUGUUUAGUAUGUGCUGGGCAUCACAAUGAUUGCCGAUUGUACAUUAUUUUGCCAAACCUUUACAAUAAUUUACAGUAAGUUUAUAAAAUAGAUGUCUGUUGUCUGCAUUUACACACCGAGGCAAGUAGAAAUAUGGGACAGGGCAAAGAGAGAUAACUUGUUCCAGUUGCAGAGCUUGAAGUCAGCCCUUUUGCUCCCGUGCUGCUGAACAUUGCUGUGAUAAUUAACCUUGGCUCCUACUCGCUUAGGACUGCCAUCCUCGAAACCCUUUGCUUAGAGCCCCCUCAUUUCUCUUAUUUAUCUCCCUAUCAUUCUAGCUGCAGCUCUUCUCCAGUUCCAGCCCAGAGACCAGGCUGACCUCUACAUCCUCACUCCACUUUCCAUAUGUUGGGUUCAUCUUUAUUUCUUUACCAGCCUUGACCUUCACACAUAGCCACCAUCUGCUGACCUGUUGGCUAUCCCUGUACUGCAAUAUGCAAUAUCUGGCUGCUGCUUCCUCAGGGAGCUGUGUCUACCAUUGUCAAGAGAGCAGCACUGUCCACGUUCCUCUUAGGUUUAACUUCAUGACCCAGAGUGUCUACAUUCCUCAUGACCUCUCUCAGCGGAAACAUUUGGGUCCCACUGUCAACAGGGACCACUUUCUUUCUCUAUCGAGGCCUUUACCAGAAACUUACUACAGACCUCAUAGAGCAUGACCCCACCUGCCUGGGCCUUGGUUUCCCUUUCACCUCAUUUCUCUUCCUAAGAAGCCCAUGAUCCUCAAGAAACUAGAACAUCCACAGAUAGACUCUGUUGCUAGGCUCCAGAAACCCUGGAAGUGGAGGUGAGAGGCGGGUAGAGGAAGCCUCUUUGGUGCUAUCCUGCUGAGGAGUAUCACUGGUUCAGAAUAAGAGGCAUGAAUUCUGUAUAUAGUAGAGUCUAAGUAUGCCUCUGUCCAUGUGAAACACUGCAGGAAGGGUUCUCGAAGCCCGGGUCCUGGGUAGGUCCAGGAGUUGCUCAUAAGACCAUGUAUAUUUGCGGGCCAUCUUAUUUGCAUAAUGGGGAGGACCUUGAUAAAAAUUGUCAUGCCCUACUUCCUUCUUAUGAACCUAGGAGCCUGGGUUUGAAAUAAAAUUCCUAAUAAUUUUAUCUACAUUGGGGCUCAAGGGGUCACUUCUUUUGGCAGGGCAUCUGUAUCUGCCUUACAAGGAAUUAAAUGUCUCUAUCACUCCCCAUACGCAUCCCAUGACUCAUACCAACUUGAAUGGAGCACAACCUUGUCAGUCAGUUAUGAGUUUUCUUUGAAGCCCCUUAGAAAUCCUUCCUUCUCCCAACGGGCCCAGAGUGGGACAAGCAUGCUUGGCUCAGGAACAAGCAGAAACUUUGCACCAAAUUCCCACCUUCCUUCUGAUUACCUCCUCUUUAACUGAGAAAUGGCACCAGUCCCUCCUCCCCUAUCCCCUGGGGCUGUUGGAGAAGCCAGAACCAUCAGGAAACUAAUGUACAGAGCAGGCAUCAUGAGACAAAAAUGUAGUCUUUUUAACUUCUAAAGCUUGCCUCGGGGAUGGUAGGCACUGGGAACGGGGAACUUGGUUGUUCUACUCAUGUUGAGAUAAGUCAGAGCAGUUAUGGUCCCCUAGGAACAGACCAUUUCUAUUUCUGCUUGGUGCUUCCUAACCACCUUCUCUGUCACCAGGGCCUCUGUAAGUCUCCUCCCAGGGCUGCAGAAAGAGAUGUUUGCCAUUAGUUUGAAGGAAACUGGUUGCUAUUGUUUGAAAUAGCAUAGGAAACCCCAACUCCUGUCUAAAUUUAUCCUUCCUAAUGUAUUUCCCUCAAGCCACUAAUUCACUCGUAUGCUGGUCCAUUCAUGUGUAUUUGCAGUUGUAUGUAUACACACAUAUAUGUAGAGAGGCUGGAGGACAGCCUCCAGUGCCAUUCCUUGGGUGCUGUCCACCACUGAUUUUUUGAGGCAGGGUCUUUCAUUGGCUUAGACAUUCACAAGUAGGCUAUGCUAGCUGGCUAGCCAGCCCCAAGGAUAUGCUGGUCUCUUUGCCUCCCCAGUUUUGGGAUUAUGAGUGCAUGUUGUCAUAUAUGGCUUUUUAAACAUGGGGUUCUAGGGCUCAAAUCUAGGUUUUCAUGUUGGUGAGGCAAGUGCUUUACCUAUUGAUCUCUCUCAGGACCUCUGUUCAUUGAUUUGUGUCUAAAAUGAGAGGGCCCAACUCUUCCUCACCUUCCCUAGGGGCUUUUGAGAACCACAGAUUCUCAUUUUGAGAAGGCCAGGCCUAUGAUCUAUGAACAAUAAGAGUUGACCCAAACGAUAUAUCUUAAUGUAGUCUUCAAUAAGCUCCACCACAGCUGACAGAGUCUUGGUGGGCUUUCCACCAACUGCAGAGGUGGCUGAGAACAGAGUGCUGCCUGCUUGCAUCCCCUGACUCCAGCAGAGACUCAGGAAUAUCUUCAUAAUUCCACUAUGGGCGGCAGGAAUCCAGGCAUCAUUCCCAACUAGGUGUGAGGGAGUAAAGAUGGCGGGAUACUUUAUGAGAGCCAUGGGAAAAAAUGUCCCCUUUUGGGAGGCAGAGCUAUGGACUUUGAAUUUACCAGCACAGUUUGCAUGAAGACAGACACUGCUUCUCUACUGCUUGACGUUUAAGGCAGGAGUUGUGUUCAAGAGCUAGGCAGGUCUUCUUCAUGAUCCCUACUGCCUGUCUUGGAUCUGAGGUCCACAAACUGGGAAUGACCAAGCUCUUUAGUUGAGUGCUUUGGCAUAGUAGGGGUGACCCUGGCAUACAGGGUCUCGCCCUUUGUGCUUGUAUUUUUAAGGCGUUGAUUUUGUUGUUGAUGUCAUUGUUGUUGAGGAAAGACUUGCUGGCAAGAAUUACAGGAGUCCAGAGAGACCUUCCUGAACUAUUAACCUGAAGGUUCCGCUUUGCCUUCCCCCUCUCAGUUUCUAUGGGCUAGUGGUCUCUGUUCAAUUUAGAAAGCCUGUGUCUUUCUACUACUUAAAGCUUCCUAUCAAUUUCUUGUGAAGCCUGGAGCAGAAGCUGAGCUGCUUUCCCAGUGAGUGUACCUCCUACCCUGUGCUCACUUCAUAUCCCUCUGGCCCCCUUCUCCUUCACACUGGUCAACUCGCUGUUUAUCAGACAAGACCAGCAAGCCCUGGUUUCUGGGCCUAUGUAGCUGUUCCCAGGCUUCUUUGUUUCCCUGGCUCAUUGUUUGCAGGGAUGGCUCCUUCUCGCCCUCCGACCUCUCCUGUACCCCUCCCUCUUCCUCCUCCUCUUCCUCUUCCUCUCCCUUCU
rnacentral:sRNA from 1 species